GAUGAACGCUGGCGGCGUGCCUAAUACAUGCAAGUCGAGCGAACAGACGAGGAGCUUGCUCCUCUGACGUUAGCGGCGGACGGGUGAGUAACACGUGGAUAACCUACCUAUAAGACUGGGAUAACUUCGGGAAACCGGAGCUAAUACCGGAUAAUAUAUUGAACCGCAUGGUUCAAUAGUGAAAGACGGUUUUGCUGUCACUUAUAGAUGGAUCCGCGCCGCAUUAGCUAGUUGGUAAGGUAACGGCUUACCAAGGCGACGAUGCGUAGCCGACCUGAGAGGGUGAUCUGCCACACUGGAACUGAGACACGGUCCAGACUCCUACGGGAGGCAGCAGUAGGGAAUCUUCCGCAAUGGGCGAAAGCCUGACGGAGCAACGCCGCGUGAGUGAUGAAGGUCUUCGGAUCGUAAAACUCUGUUAUUAGGGAAGAACAAAUGUGUAAGUAACUAUGCACGUCUUGACGGUACCUAAUCAGAAAGCCACGGCUAACUACGUG
rnacentral:rRNA from 1 species